AUUGAACGCUGGCGGCAGGCCUAACACAUGCAAGUCGAACGAGUGGCGGACGGGUGAGUAAUGUGUGGGAAACUGCCCGAUGGAGGGGGAUAACUCCUGGAAACGGUAGCUAAUACCGCAUACCAUCGGAUGUGCCCAGAUGGGAUUAGCUAGGGGGCGGGGUAACGGCUCACAUAGGCGACGAUCCCUAGCUGGUCUGAGAGGAUGACCGGCCACACUGGGACUGAGACACGGUCCAGACUCCUACGGGAGGUAGCAGUGGGGAAUAUUGCACAAUGGGCGCAAGCCUGAUGCAGCCAUGCCGCGUGUAUGAAGAAGGCCUUCGGGUUGUAAAGUACUUUCAGUGGGGAGGCGUUACUCGCAGAAGAAGCACCGGCUAACUCCGUGCCAGCAGCCGCGGUAAUAC
rnacentral:rRNA from 1 species